rnacentral:tRNA from 1 species
GGUUUUGUAGUGUAAUGUUUAACAUGUUAAAUUGCAAAUUUGUGGAUGCGGGGAUUUCCGUCAAAACUU